UUUCGAACUGGUUGGUUCGACUUUUAAGAAAUUUGAUUUCUAAUGAGUUAGAGAACUGAGGUACCACUGUAUUUAUCUUUUCUGUUGUAGAUUCCAUGGUAUACCACCAGCGUUUCUUCAGAGUGCUGCGGAUACUUUAGAUAAUGCAGCCCUUCAUCUCCUCAACCCAACUUUUCAACACUCUGAUUAUGACUACAUUUUAUUCAGGCUGGAGCAACUGCAGAACUGUCUGAUCAGAUGCUUUCAGAAUAUUGAGUCAGAAAAGGCAGAGCAAGUGCUUGACAACUUGGGCAAAGUUUUAGAUAUUUUGAGUGCACAGCCAAACUGUACCAUCAAUGGCUUUGAGGCAGGAACAGUUUCCACUGAUAACAGGGGCCGACCCAAAAUUAACAUUACGCACAAUUGGAAUUUCUGUUGCAGUUCAAUUUUACAAUUCCAUGUCAAACAUGUUGGGUGUAAGUUUAAAAACAGUCAGAAGACGAAUGUCUGAAUAUGAUUUAUCCAUCCAUAGCACCUACAGUCAGAUAUCUCAAGAUGAUCUGCAAAAAAUGAUAUCAGACUUCAUAACUGAAUUUCCAGAAUCUGGAUAUAAAAAAGUGACUGGGUAUCUUCGCAGUGUGGGUGUGAGAGUGCAGCAAAAAAGAAUUAGAGAGGCUUUGAGGCUUGUGGAUCCCGUGGGAGCCUUUCUGAGGGGUCUCACAAUCAACACCAUAUGCCAUUGUCACUAUGGCAUAAAGAUGGCAAUCACAAGUUAAUUCAAUGGAGAAUAGUGGUUCACGGAGCAAUUGACGGAUACAGCAGAAAGAUAAUGUACCUAAAAGCCAGCUUCAACAACAAAGCUGCUACAGUGUUAAACUGCUUUAUUGAAGCAGUGCAUCAGUAUG